UGCUCUGACCUCGAUCAGUA
rnacentral:rRNA from 1 species